UACGGGGGGUGCAAGCGUUAUUCGGAAUCAUUGGGCGUAAAGGGCGCGUAGGCGGUCUCUUAUGUCAGAUGUGAAAGACCUCGGCUCAACCGAGGAAGUGCAUUUGAAACUGAGAGACUUGAGUAUGGGAGAGGGAAGCGGAAUUCCUGGUGUAGCGGUGAAAUGCGUAGAUAUCAGGAGGAACACCGGUGGCGAAGGCGGCUUCCUGGACCAAUACUGACGCUGAGGCGCGAAGGCGUGGGGAGCAAACAGG
rnacentral:rRNA from 1 species